UGUGCGCGCCGCGGAACUUMGCUNMAUAGCAUAUAUWAAANUGCUGCAGUUAAAAAGCUCGUAGUUGGAUCUGGGUUCUGGUUUGGAGACUGCUUGCUCUUAGUGAAUUGGUUUCAUGAAGCUUUGGGCAGUGGUAUAUCUAGACCGAAUCUUCCAGCUGUGUCUGCAUAGUGCUUCGGCUCUGUGUAGAUAGAUUCGUUGUGUGUAAGUUCCUUAACAGGUCUUCGCCUUCGUUUCUAUACGCUGUAAUGCCUUUUAUCGGGUGUUCAGUGUGGACAGCACGUUUACUUUGAACAAAUYUGAGUGCUCAAAGCA
rnacentral:rRNA from 1 species